CCGACUUAAAAAGAUUCCAUUGUCGCAAGGGAAAGGGUACUAGAAUCCCCCGCGUUGGCGAAAUCGUCCUGCUAAAGGAGCCAAAUAUCAAGCGUGUUUCGUGGCCUACGGCCAUUAUAACGGAAUUGAUUCCCGGCUAUGACGGCAAGAUACGAGCUGUAAAGUUACGUCUUCGUUCAGAAAAGGAAACAACACGAGGUCUCCAGACCAUUUAUCCAUUGGAAAUUCAACAUGACGUGGAUCCGCCCGUCAAUGUUUCCGUAGACGGAUCUAGAGAAGCCGAGGCUGGCCAAGAAGAAGGAGGUGCAUCCGCGCCUAAGAAGAAACCCCCCCGCAAGAAGAAAAAGGAAUCGCCGAGGAGGACUCGCGAUUCCGGUGGGGAGGAUGUUGCGGAUCACGACCCGCCACCUGACGGACAAUUAACUAGGUCGGGCCGACUAGUUCGCAAGCCCACUAUUUUUGAUUUAUAGUAUGUGUAAGGCCGCCAGGGGUGCUGUGUUCAGCGUCUUCUUGGUGGCCGAUCUCGGUUAAUGUUCCUUCUUCGCAAUUGUUCAACAAGGUAGAGCAGACGCCAUAAUAAGUUGUGUCAGAAUCUGAAUAAAAGCUAGAGAAUCAGCAACAAUUUACCUGAGUCAAGUGUUUUCAAAUCAAUAAUUACUUAUCAGAUCGGACAGUUCAGUCACAAAUUCUAGUAAAAAAUCGUUGAUGCAGUUUGGUUUCUUGAUGCCACAAAAUACUCCAACUACAAUUAGUUCGGCAUAUUCUACGUCGUAUAACUUCCCCACAAUGGGCCAAAAACUGUUCCCACUACUUUUAACUAAAGGGAGCCCAUCGAUAUUCCAUAUAAAUUGCAAAACAUUUGGAAUGUCCUUUGAGUUCAAAAGAGCCAAAACAACAGCAAGAGUCGAAGCUAUGCCAAAAUUUAAGAAGGAACCAGGCUGAACAACUCUAUAUUGAAUUCUUGAUCUCAGUGACUUGAGCAGUGUUCUCGAGUCCAAAGGAAGAUACGCCAGACCAGCUUCUCUGUUUAAACGCUUCAAUAGGUUCGAGACAUGAGCUCUUCGUAUGUUGCAAUCCAGUACCCAUUCAGCAAGACUCCGUCUCACAGCUUCUUCAUGAGAAACAUCAAUGUUCUCAUCAUUUAAAUUGACCAGCCAAUCAUUGACGUAGUCAUCUGGGAUGGAUGAUUCACUAACAGAUUUGUGGUAAGAAUCAUCUUCCUCCAAAGGUUCCUCCCAGUCAAUUUUUUCAUCGUUCAUGAAAUGUUGGUAAUCUGUGGUAUAACCUGAAGCACCUGAAGCCUGACUGUCACCUUCAAGAAAAUUGGGAUGGCCUGGGAAUAAACAUAAAUGAAUAA